rnacentral:rRNA from 1 species
UCGAGAAUUUUUCUCAAUGGGGGAAACCCUGAAGGAGCGACGCCGCGUGGAGGAUGAAGGUCUUCGGAUUGUAAACUCCUGUCAUUAGGGAACAAUGUGCAGUCGUUAACUGCGAUUGCAUUGAUAGUACCUGAAGAGGAAGAGACGGCUAACUCUGUGCCAGCAGCCGCGGUAAUACAGAGGUCUCAAGCGUUGUUCGGAUUCAUUGGGCGUAAAGGGUGCGUAGGUGGCGCCAUAAGUCAGGUGUGAAAUCUCGGGGCUCAACCCCGAAACUGCACUUGAUACUGUGGUGCUCGAGUACUGGAGAGGAGAUUGGAAUUUACGGUGUAGCAGUGAAAUGCGUAGAUAUCGUAAGGAAGACCAGUGGCGAAGGCGAAUCUCUGGACAGUUACUGACACUGAGGCACGAAGGCCAGGGGAGCAAACG